UUUAAAGUUGUAUUUUAAUAAUUAUAACAUUGUUUUGUGGUCUAUGUGUGGAACAAUGUUGCCAAAAAUUAAGAAAAAUCCUACCAAACCCAACCAAAACCUACGAAAUGUUUUACAAGCCAAAAAUGCGGCCUCUGUUUUUAUACCUACCACCGAAGAAGUUGCAUGGACUCCUAAACAUCUGAAUUUGGACUAAAUCUGACCAUAUCUGUAUGCAGCUGCACAUAGCCCUGAUUUCCGAUUGAAAGCAUUCGACGCACAAAAUCCGCAUUUCCUACCCAAAAUUAACGAAGUUUGGGAGAAAUUCAUUAACAUUCGUAUCUGUUAGUCAAUAUGAGAACUUACUUUUACUGAAAUUUGAAGCAGUGAGACCCCUUGUAAGAGUAUUUGGCCCCUGGACAUCCAUGGUUUUAUUCUGAUUGAUUGAAAUUUUUGUCAUUUUCAAUUAAAAAAAUUAAUUGAUUAUACCAUUUUGUUAUUUGAAUCCGAAA